CCUACGGGCGGCAGCAGUAGGGAAUUUUCGGCAAUGGGGGGAACCCUGACCGAGCAACGCCGCGUGAACGAAGAAGUUCUUCGUAAUGUAAAGUUCUUUUAACAGGGAAGAAAGAGAAAUUUGACGGUACCUGAAGAAUAAGCUCCGGCUAACUACGUGCCAGCAGCCGCGGUAAUACGUAGGGAGCGAGCGUUAUCCGUAAGUAUUGGGCGUAAAGGGUGGGUAGAUGGAAUAGAAAGUCUUUUGUAAAAAUGCUGGGCUAAACCCAGUAGGGCAAAAGAUACUGCAAAGCUAGAGUAUGACAGAGGCAAGUGGAACUACAUGUGUAGCGGUAAAAUGCGUAGAUAUAUGUAAGAACACCAGUGGCGAAGGCGGCUUGCUGGGUCGAUACUGACAUUGAGGCACGAAAGCGUGGGGAGCAAACAGGAUUAGAUACCCUGGUAGUC
rnacentral:rRNA from 1 species